GGCGUCGUCGGGCAGGAAGUACACCUGGGUUUCCGGCCCGGCCGGGGCGCCUAUGUACCCGGGUGCUCCGGCCACCCCCAUGCCG
rnacentral:tRNA from 1 species